rnacentral:tRNA from 1 species
GGGGUUAUGGCUACCACAGGAAAGAAGCGGAAACACCCGGAAAGUAUGACCCAUUGCAUGGCAUGCAAGAGGUCAGCGGUUCGAUCCCGCUUAGCUCCACCA